rnacentral:lncRNA from 1 species
AGUUAUGAAAUCUUCCACUCUGAGAUCUUGGCAGAUCAAAAACUAUACGGAGCAUUUGGUGAGGUACCAUUUAUGUGAGGCAGUCCCAAAUGUUUGGCACAUUUAUGGGAAGCAUCCUGAUGAAGGAUUUACAGUGGUUUCUUCUAACUGGGAUCACUCCUAGGUCUAGUACUAAUAAAGAGAAGAAGAUCGGAGCAGCUUUGACAUGAAUGGAUCCAUCUGGCCUGGUCUCCAUACAAGUUUCCUAUGAGUUUGGUCACAGACCCUUCAAGCAAUUGUUUAAAUGAGAAGAUGCUACAUUUUCAAGCAGAGACUGAUUCACUGUAGCUUAAUAAAUUUUUACUGAGCCCAUACUGUGUAUAUUUUGUCCUGAGCUUCAGAAACCAGGAAAUCCCAUUGGGUAAGGGGAGCCUGGUGCAGGGAUCAGCAGCCUGAAUGAAUUCUGCUAAACAACUUUCAUCUGGCUUUAGCUAUUUCUGUUGAGCUGUCAACACAGAUGUUGGGUUUUGCUCUCAGAACUUUAAGGACACGUGGCAAUGGACAGACGAUCUACUGGAACUGGAGGAGAGGGGGAGGCGUAGUGUGCAAACACACAAAUGGCCAUUGUCCCAAUAUUACAGCCAUUGCUUAAUUCACCA